rnacentral:misc_RNA from 1 species
AACGCAUAUUGCGCCCCUUGGUAUUCCUUGGGGCACACCUGUUCGAGCGUCAUUUCACCAAUCAAGCCUCGCUUGGUGUUGGGCGAUGCGCACGUCGCACGCCUCAAAUGCCCCGGCCGAGCAGUCUCUCACCCGGCGUCGUGGAAACAUACCGCUACGGAGACGAGACCUGCCCGUGCCGCAGAAUAACCUAUUAACAAAGGUUGACCUCGGAUCAGGUGGGGAUACCCGCUGAACUUAA